GUCUCGGUAGUAUAAAGGAUAGGGCAGGGUGCCCUGAAAGCACAAGUACGGGUUCGAGUCCCGUCCGAGACC
rfam:Haemonchus contortus, ISE/inbred ISE, WGS project CAVP01000000 data, contig: Hcontortus_contig_pathogens_Hcontortus_scaffold_1516